UAUGUACAUGUGCAUGUGUGGGUUUGACUUUCUGUCUCCUGCACUCCUCCCUUCUACCUUCCUUAAGAAUCUUUUUCUGUAUGAACACCAUCUGUGAUAAAAAUAGACAAGCUUUGUCUGAUCUGUCUGAUGGCUUUCAUGCUGCCAGUCUGCCUUCUUCCCUCUGCUGACCUGGGACUGGGCUAGGUGUUGAGGUGGUGGGAGGGGAAGGGCACAGGGCCUCCUCCCUCCUAUUUCUGUUUGAGCCCCUUAAGCUGUCUUCAUUCUUUGGAUUCUCCUCCAACCCAGAAUCAGAACUAAUGGUUUUUCACUCUUCCCUCACUGACCAAGCACCGAUCCCUCUUGAGUGAAAGAAGACCCUGCCACAUAAGCCAGCACUUACUCCCUUCCCUGUGUCCUGUGAGUGUGUUCCUGGAGAGGACUAGAGUCCCGUGUGAGAGCUGAGAAGUUAUUCAGUUGCGUAUGAAGACAUGACACAGAGCACAUUCCGGGGCAGGCCGAGUGCUCAGGAACAGUUGGCCAACACAGAGUCGACCCCUAUGUUUUUUGGUCCUCUUUUCUUUUGUUUUUGUUUGGUUUUAAGGGGAGGAAAGAACAUGAGGUUGGGAGGGUAAGAAAUGGGGGAAGACCUGGGAAAGCUAGGGGAUGGGAAAAAUUCUGGUAAAAAUGUACUGUGUGAAAUUCUCCAAGAAAAAAAAAAUAGAGAGACCUAUUAACUUAUUAAAGGUGUCUGUGAUCAACAAGGCAGAGACUUUUUAAAAAAAGUAAUUUCCUACUUUCCAAGGAGAUUCAUGGGGACAGCAGCCAUGGGAGCAGGUGCUGGGGGCAUCCCAGGCUAUGCACACGGGUGCCUCUUUUCCCUCUUGCAUACAUGUGUAACAGGACCUGGGGAGCCUAGAGGCUGCCAGGACAAGCCCCGUCAAGCUUCAGGAGCCCUUCCCGGACGCUGCUGGCACAGGGGAACCCACCAGUCUCCUCCCUAACACACAAGCAGCUUAUCUCAGGUCUUGUUUUGGCUUAGAAGUCUUUUAAUCUCUCACGAUGGUUGGAAUGGAUCAGCCUCUAUUUUUACUCCUGGAUGGAGAAGACAUGAAUCAGACUGGGCCAACUCUGUUGGACUUGUAGAGGCCUGCCGCGGAGCACACAUUCCUUUUAGCUUUAGGCAUAUUAAGGACAGAGGGGGAGAGAGCAAAUGAAAACACAGACAGGAGAGAGCCUGCUACAGAUGACAGGGAACUGGCGCACAGUAGGCAUUCAGCAAAUGUCUGCGGAAAUGAACACCCAGCAAUCCAACAGUGUCACGUGGCUUUCUCCCUGGCUCCACUGUGCAGCGCAGUUGCUGGGAAUAUGGCAGCAAGCAGGUGGCUUGCCACAUCUACCUGCCAUGUGCUGGCCAAGGGGACGUCUUCAGGCAUGAGGACGCUCUGUGGUAUCCAUGGGCCCCUCCUUUGUUGUCCUGGUACUUAGGGAAGCUCAGCUUCUGCUGAGGUAGGAAUUUGGGCUAUCGUGAUACUUUUUUGUGGAGGACUGGGGAGUAACUGGUAGCUACUGGCUUGGUAUAACAGUCAUGACUCAUCACAGUAAAGUGUCCAUCUGCUUUCCAAACCGAAGGCUGAAUUAGAUUGCAGGGGGUAGGGAAGAAGGCAAUAUGUCUUGAACGGUAGCCAGAGAUAAAGAGGCUUUGACUCUAGGUAUUUAGAGCAGUGUAGAGAAAAGACCAUCAUGACUAUAGAUGUCCUAAGAGGAGUGGGUUCAAGAGAGGAGUUAGCCAAGUUCUUGUCAAACAUAAGUCUUUUGGGGUCCCUCGCUGUCUUGCUUGGCUCUGUAGAUUACACUGAAGCCCUGAUUCCUGUACCUGCUAUUGCUGCUCUGCCUUGGGAUCUGCUCAGCACAGAGCAGAGGUGCAGAAAGCAUUGUAAGCUGCUCCUUCUUCAGGGCUGGCCAUGUCUGAGCUAACGAUGAAGACCAAGAAGCCCCGAGACCUGAAGAUGCAGAGCAGAGGCCUAAGAAGGACCGAAGGCUGGAGAAGACCAAUGUCUCUGCUCAAGGAGCCCAAAAGGAAAGGAUUUUGUAUUUUCCUCCCAGAGUCACCUUGGCCAUUGGCGAGUCACAUCUUUGGGUGCCUUGUGAAGAAUUUUCCACAAAGAACUAACCCACCAUGGAUGUGGGCAGCAGCAUCCCAAGGGCUGGGGACAUGGUAAGACAAGAGAGAGAGGAAAUAAGGCCUGAAUUUUCCUUUUCCUACUUCCUGCCUUGACAGGAAAUAUGCUCUCUGUCCUAACAGAUCAAACCCUCUGACAGUGUAAACUAAAAUAAAUCAUUCCUCCUUUCAAUUUGCCCUAUCAAACUAUCUGUUUGAGUGACAACAUUAAUAGAAAGAGUGCAUCUCAAUGUGGCAACUAGUGUCACACCAGAGAUGUCCAUGUGUCUGAAGUCACAGAGCCAGUUUUAACCUCCUCACUCCUGUGGGGCUGUAUUACCUAAGAAUAGAUACAUGCGUCUUAGUUCAGUGGGCUUAUUCUGCAGAAGGUAAGAGUUUACUUUUGGUUUAAGCCUCACUAAAACAUUCCCUGAGGGUUGGGGAUU
rnacentral:sRNA from 1 species